rnacentral:rRNA from 1 species
AAGGAUCAUUACCGAAUUGUACACACGAGUUGUUGCUGGUCCUCAAACGGGGGCAUGUGCACGCUCUGUUCACACAUCCACUCACACCUGUGCACACUCUGUAGUUCUAUGGCCUAGGGGACUCUGUCCUCUUGCCGUGGUUCUAUGUCUUUACACACACACUGUAAUAAAGUCUUAUGGAAUGCAUGUCGCGUUUAACGCAAUACAAUACAACUUUCAGCAACGGAUCUCUUGGCUCUCGCAUCGAUGAAGAACGCAGCGAAAUGCGAUAAGUAAUGUGAAUUGCAGAAUUCAGUGAAUCAUCGAAUCUUUGAACGCACCUUGCGCCCUUUGGCUAUUCCGAAGGGCAUGCCUGUUUGAGUAUCAUGAACACCUCAACUCUCAUGGUUUACCAUGAUGAGCUUGGACUUUGGGGGUCUUGCUGGCCAGUGGUCAGCUCCUCUCAAAUGAAUCAGCUUGCCAGUGUUUGGUGGGAUCGCAGGUGUGAUAACUAUCUACGCUUGUGGUUUUCCGUCAGGUAACCUUCAGUGAUGGAGGUUCGCUGGAGCUCAUAAACGUCUCUCCUAAGCGAGGACAACUUUUUGAACGUUUGAUCUCAAAUCAGGUAGGACUACCCGCUGAACUUAAGCAUAUCAAUAAGCGGAGGAAAG